GGCCUGAUGGUCUAGUGGUAUGAUUGUCGCUUCGGGAUUCUUGCCUGGCUGCCGAGCAGCUGUAUGUGACAGGCCCCGGGUUCGAAUCCCGGUCAGGCCC